GGCUUGCACAGGUGCUGCAUGGCUGUCGUCAGCUCGUGUCGUGAGAUGUUCGGUUAAGUCCGCUAACGAGCGCAACCCUCGCUGUGUGUUACAAGUGUCACACGGUACUGCCGGUCUUAAGCCGGAGGAAGGUGGGGAUGACGUCAAGUCAGCAUGGCCUUUAUGUCCUGGGCUACACACACGCUACAAUGGCCAACACAAUAGGUUGCUAAGCCGCGAGGUGGAGCCAAUCCUCAAAGUUGGUCUCAGUUCAGAUUGCAGGCUGCAACCCGCCCGCAUGAAGAUGGAGUUGCUAGUAACCGCAGGUCAGCUAUACUGCGGUGAAUACGUUCCCGGGGCUU
rnacentral:rRNA from 1 species